CGCAUCGAUGAAGAACGCAGCGAAUUGCGAUAAGUAAUGUGAAUUGCAGAAAUACGUGAAUCAUCGAAUCUUUGAACGCAUAUUGCACUCUCUGGUAAUCCGGAGAGUAUGCCUGUUUGAGGGUCAGUAAACAAACAUUAUCAUAAAUCAUUGAUUUAUGGAAUUGGGCAUUUAUUUCAAUAUACAAGAUUUAUUGCCUUAAAUUUACGUCGUUAUGAAAUUCUCUCUAAAUGGAGCAAUUAAACAUUCUCGUUUGGUUGGGACAUUUCAUUUACAAAAACUUAUUACGAUUUUCACGCGCAAAGACGCUUUUAACAAAGUGGUCUCAGCUACGAUCGUAAGUUAAUUUAACAAAGACCUCAAAUCAGGCAAGAAUACCCGCUGAACUUAAGCAUAUCAAUAAGCGGAGGAAAAGAAACUAACAAGGAUUCCCCUAGUAACGGCGAGUGAAGAGGGAAGAGCUCAAAUUUUAAAUCUAUCUUGUUCUUCAAGGUCGAGUUGUAAUUUGAAGAAGCGUUUUCUUGGAUUUGCAGCCGGUAGAAGUUCCUUGGAACAGGACAUCAUUGAGGGUGACAAUCCCGUCUGUGACCGGUUGCUCGUUCAUCUAUGAUACGCUUUCAAAGAGUCGAGUUGUUUGGGAUUGCAGCUCCAAAUGGGUGGUAAACAUCACCUAAGGCUAAAUAUUGGCGAGAGACCGAUAGCGAACAAGUACCGUGAGGGAAAGAUGAAAAGAACUUUGAAAAGAGAGUUAAAUAGUACGUGAAAUUGUUGAAAGGGAAACGAUUGAAGUCAGUCGUGCUGGCGCGUAAUCAGCCUACGAUUUGUCAAACAAGUAGUGUGGUGAGCCUCAAAACCGCCAUAUUAUUUGUCUGGUUAAUCGUCGGUGCACUUUCGUGUCGGCUGGUUAACAUCAAUUUCAAAUGUCAUAAAAAGGCUGGGAGGGAUGUGGCUCCUUCCGGGAGUGUUAUAACCUUUWRSGGAAUGUGGUGUUUGGGAUUGAGGAUUGCAACGAAUACCUUUAGGGCUGUUCCACCUGGUCUCUCUUUGGCAUCUUGGCGGCGACAGCUUGCUGACGUUGUUAAGAGUUGACAUUGAACAGGCUAGAGUGUGGGCAAAUUCGUUAAGGAUGUUAACGUAAUGGCUUUAAACGACCCGUCUUGAAACACGGACCAAGGAGUCUAACAUAUAUGCGAGUGUUC
rnacentral:rRNA from 1 species